rnacentral:rRNA from 1 species
CCUACGGGAGGCAGCAGUAGGGAAUCUUCCACAAUGGGCGAAAGCCUGAUGGAGCAACGCCGCGUGGGUGAAGAAGGUCUUCGGAUCGUAAAACCCUGUUGUUAGAGAAGAAAGCGCGUGAGAGUAACGGUUUACGUUUCGACGGUAUCUAACCACAAAGCCACGGCUAACCACGUGCCAGCAGCCGCGGUAAUACGUAGGUGGCAAGCGUUAUCCGGAUUUAUUGGGCGUAAAGGGAACGCAGGCGGUCUUUUAUGUCUGAUGUGAAAGCCUUCGGCUUAACCGGGGUAGUGCAUUGGCAACUGGGAGACUUGAGUGCAGAAGGGGAGAGUGGAACUCCAGGUGUAGCGGUGAAAUGCGUAGAUAUAGGGAAGAACACCAGUGGCGAAAGCGGCUCUCUGGUCUGUAACUGACGCUGAGGUUCGAAAGCGUGGGGAGCGAACAGGAUUAGAUACCCGUGUAGUC